rnacentral:ncRNA from 1 species
GGCCCUUCUCCGCAGCCUGGGGACAGACACACCCAGGUCAGGCUCACCCCUGCCAGACCCUGCCCCUUCUUGCUCCUCUGAGAUCCUGAGGAAGCGGGCCAAGGCCGGCCUGAGGCGGUUUCCUCGAACUCCUUUAGAAACCCAGCGACUCUCCAGGAGGCGGUGGAGGGCCCAG